rnacentral:rRNA from 1 species
GAUUAAUACCGCAUGAUAUACGCAUAUUUAACGACGCGUAUCAAAGGAGAAAUCCGCUUUGAGAUGGGCCCGCGGCGCAUUAGCUAGUUGGAGAGGUAACGGCUCACCAAGGCGACGAUGCGUAGCCGACCUGAGAGGGUGAUCGGCCACAUUGGAACUGAGACACGGUCCAGACUCCUACGGGAGGCAGCAGUGGGGAAUAUUGCACAAUGGGGGAAACCCUGAUGCAGCAACGCCGCGUGAACGAAGAAGGCCUUCGGGUCGUAAAGUUCUUUGAUUGGGGACGAUAAUGACGGUACCCAAAAAACAAGCCACGGCUAACUACGUG